rnacentral:rRNA from 1 species
CCCCAGGGCCCGAGUUGUAAUUUGCAGAGGAUGCUUUUGGUGAGGUGCCUUCCGAGUUCCCUGGAACGGGACGCCAUAGAGGGUGAGAGCCCCGUCUGGUUGGAUACCGAGCCUCUGUAAAGCUCCUUCGACGAGUCGAGUAGUUUGGGAAUGCUGCUCUAAAUGGGAGGUAUAUGUCUUCUAAAGCUAAAUAUUGGCCAGAGACCGAUAGCGCACAAGUAGAGUGAUCGAAAGAUGAAAAGCACUUUGAAAAGAGGGUUAAAUAGUACGUGAAAUUGUUGAAAGGGAAGCACUUAUGACCAGACUUGGCCCCGGUGAAUCAUCCAGCGGUUCCCGCUGGUGCACUUUGCCGGGGUUCAGGCCAGCAUCAGUUCGCUCCGGGGGAUAAAGGCUUUGGGAAUGUGGCUCCCUCGGGAGUGUUAUAGCCCAUUGCGUAAUACCUUGUGGCGGGCUGAGGUUCGCGCUUUAUGCAAGGAUGCUGGCAUAAUGGUCAUCAGUGACCCGUCUUGAAACACGGACCAAGGAGUCGUCUUCGUAUGCGAGUGUUCGGGUGUUAAACCCCUACGCGUAAUGAAAGUGAACGCAGGUGAGAGCCCUCCAGGGCGCAUCAUCGACCGAUCCUGAUGUUCUCGGAUGGAUUUGAGUAAGAGCAUACGGGGCCGGACCCGAAAGAAGGUGAACUAUGCCUGUAUAGGGUGAAGCCAGAGGAAACUCUGGUGGAGGCUCGCAGCGGUUCUGACGUGCAAAUCGAUCGUCAAAUAUGGGCAUGGGGGCGAAAGACUAAUCGAACC